rnacentral:rRNA from 1 species
AGUUUGAUCCUGGCUCAGAUUGAACGCUGGUGGUAUGCUUAACACAUGCAAGUCGAACGGUAACAGAAGAGCUUGCUCUUGCUGACGAGUGGCGGACGGGUGAGUAACGCGUAGGAAUCUGCCCGUACGUGGGGAUAACCAGUUGGAAACGACUGUUAAUACCGCAUAAUACCUAAGGGUUAGGGUUAAAGGUGGCCUUUGUGCUACCGCGUACGGAUGAGCCUGCGUUGGAUUAGCUAGUUGGUGGGGUAAAGGCCUACCAAGGCUACGAUCCAUAGCUGAUUUGAGAGGAUGAUCAGCCACACUGGAACUGAGACACGGUCCAGACUCCUACGGGAGGCAGCAGUGGGGAAUAUUGGACAAUGGGGGAAACCCUGAUCCAGCAAUAACAUGUGUGUGAAGAAGGCCUGAGGGUUGUAAAGCACUUUCAAUAGGGAAGAAGGGUAGUAUGUUAAUAGCGUAUUAUUUUGACGUUAACUAUACAAGAAGCACCGGCUAACUCUGUGCCAGCAGCCGCGGUAAUACAGAGGGUGCAAGCGUUAAUCGGAAUUACUGGGCGUAAAGCGCGCGUAGGCGGUUUAUUAAGUUGGAUGUGAAAGCCCCGGGCUCAACCUGGGAUGGUCAUUCAAAACUGGUAGACUAGAAUGUGAUAGAGGACAGUGGAAUUCCUAGUGUAGCGGUGAAAUGCGUAGAUAUUAGGAGGAACAUCAGUGGCGAAGGCGACUGUCUGGGUUAACAUUGACGCUGAGGUGCGAAAGCGUGGGUAGCGAACGGGAUUAGAUACCCCGGUAGUCCACGCCGUAAACGAUGAGAACUAGAUGUUGGUUUCAUAAAAGAGAUUAGUAUCGUAGCUAACGCGUUAAGUUCUCCGCCUGGGGAGUACGGCCGCAAGGUUAAAACUCAAAGGAAUUGACGGGGGCCCGCACAAGCGGUGGAGCAUGUGGUUUAAUUCGAUGCAACGCGAAGAACCUUACCAUCCCUUGACAUCAUCAGGAUUUGUUAGAGAUAACUUAGUGCCUUCGGGAACUGGUUGACAGGUGCUGCAUGGCUGUCGUCAGCUCGUGUCGUGAGAUGUUGGGUUAAGUCCCGCAACGAGCGCAACCCUUAUCUUUAGUUGCCAGCACAUAAUGGUGGGGACUCUAAAGAGACUGCCGGUGACAAGCCGGAGGAAGGUGGGGACGACGUCAAGUCAUCAUGGCCCUUACGGGAUGGGCUACACACGUGCUACAAUGGGCAGUACAAAUGGUCGCGAAGCCGCGAGGUGGAGCUAAUCUAAGAAAGCUGUUCGUAGUCCGGAUUGGAGUCUGCAACUCGACUCCAUGAAGUUGGAAUCGCUAGUAAUCGUAGAUCAGAAUGCUACGGUGAAUACGUUCCCGGGCCUUGUACACACCGCCCGUCACACCAUGGGAGUGGGUUGCAAAAGAAGUGGGUAGACUAACCUUCGGGGGGUCGCUCACCACUUUGUGAUUCAUGACUGGGGUGAAGUCGUAACAAGGUAACC